AGUGAACGCUGGCGGUAGGCCUAACACAUGCAAGUCGAACGGCAGCACAGUAAGAGCUUGCUCUUACGGGUGGCGAGUGGCGGACGGGUGAGGAAUACAUCGGAAUCUACUUUUUGGUGGGGGAUAACGUAGGGAAACUUACGCUAAUACCGCAUACGACCUACGGGUGAAAGCAGGGGAUCUUCGGACCUUGCGCGAUUGAAUGAGCCGAUGUCGGAUUAGCUAGUUGGCGGGGUAAAGGCCCACCAAGGCGACGAUCCGUAGCUGGUCUGAGAGGAUGAUCAGCCAAACUGGAACUGAGACACGGUCCAGACUCCUACGGGAGGCAGCAGUGGGGAAUAUUGGACAAUGGGCGCAAGCCUGAUCCAGCCAUACCGCGUGGGUGAAGAAGGCCUUCGGGUUGUAAAGCCCUUUUGUUGGGAAAGAAAAGCAGCAGGUUAAUACCCCGCUGUUCUGACGGUACCCAAAGAAUAAGCACCGGCUAACUUCGUG
rnacentral:rRNA from 1 species